rnacentral:lncRNA from 1 species
CAACAACAAUAAAAUAAAUUUUGUGAAGUUUGAAAUUAGUGAAUUUAGAGUUGUAUGGAGUUUUUUUAAAAAUUAAUUAUUAUUCUUCAAGAAUGAUAAAGUAGAGCAAUAACAACAUAAAAGGAAAGAAGGUAGUGGUACAAAUAGAAGUGCAGUGUGAUGGAAAUAUGUAAUUGAUGUAAAAAGAAGCAUUGUAAAAGCUGAACAUGAUAGAGGCAGAAGCAUAAACAAGAAGAACUAGCAAAACUUAUAAGAGUGUGUCGUGCAAAGAAAGGGAAACGACAAUAAGAAGAGAGAUUGGCAAUGAUGGUAGCAGCAUUGAGGAGGCAUACUAUGCAUUUAGAAGUUGAUGUAGAGGAUCCCCGAGUUGAUUGCCAGAGUGUAAGAAGAAUGGAUCAGAUAUGUGAGCGAGAGGAAAAACCAGA